GGGAAUGUGGCAUGGUGGUUUGCGUGUUGGAUUGAGACUCUGGAGACCAGGGUUCGAUUCCCAACUUGGCCA